CUCGGCUCUCGCAUCGAUGAAGAACGUAGCGAAAUGCGAUACUUGGUGUGAAUUGCAGAAUCCCGUGAACCAUCGAGUCUUUGAACGCAAGUUGCGCCCGAAGCCGUCAGGCCGAGGGCACGUCUGCCUGGGCGUCACGCAUCGCGUCGCCCCCCUACUUUACGC
rnacentral:rRNA from 1 species